UACGGGGGGGGCAAGCGUUGUUCGGAAUUACUGGGCGUAAAGGGCACGUAGGCGGUGAAUCGGGUUGAAAGUGAAAGUCGCCAAAAAAGUGGCGGAAUGCUCUCGAAACCAAUUCACUUGAGUGAGACAGAGGAGAGUGGAAUUUCGUGUGUAGCGGUGAAAUGCGCAGAUAUCAGGAAGAACACCCGUGGCGAAGGCGGCUCACUGGCCCGAUACUGACGCUGAGGUGCGAAAGCGUGGGGGAGCAAACAGG
rnacentral:rRNA from 1 species